AGCGAACGCUGGCGGCAGGCUUAACACAUGCAAGUCGAGCGGGCACUUCGGUGUCAGCGGCAGACGGGUGAGUAACACGUGGGAACGUACCCUUCGGUUCGGAAUAACGCUGGGAAACUAGCGCUAAUACCGGAUACGCCCUUUUGGGGAAAGGUUUACUGCCGAAGGAUCGGCCCGCGUCUGAUCAGCUAGUUGGUGGGGUAAUGGCCUACCAAGGCGACGAUCAGUAGCUGGUCUGAGAGGAUGAUCAGCCACACUGGGACUGAGACACGGCCCAGACUCCUACGGGAGGCAGCAGUGGGGAAUAUUGGACAAUGGGCGCAAGCCUGAUCCAGCCAUGCCGCGUGAGUGAUGAAGGCCUUAGGGUUGUAAAGCUCUUUUGUCCGGGACGAUAAUGACGGUACCGGAAGAAUAAGCCCCGGCUAACUUCGUG
rnacentral:rRNA from 1 species